rnacentral:sRNA from 1 species
GGGGUUGGGGAAGGCCAAAUUAAAAAAAAAAAGAAUUUUUGAAAAUUCAUCCAAUAUAUGUAGAAAAUGUUGUAUAUUUUGAUGACAUUUUAAUUUGACAGCUCUUGUAAAACUGAUGACAUGAUCAUAAAAAUGGCAGUUAAAGUCAUGUAUGUCAAAUCAAGUGAUUUGUGGUUACUCUUGUAGGCUGUCAUUUCAUCUAAUUUAUUGUACUUCCAUCUUGAUAGGUUCUCAUCAGUCAGCUAGUGUUCAUUACAUAUAUACAUCUGUAUAUUUAUGUUUUACCCAUUGUAGGAAUCAAUUUAUUUGAGAACACAAAACUUUUCAUCCAAUAAAACAUGCUAUAAU